rnacentral:rRNA from 1 species
CCUACGGGAGGCAGCAGUGGGGAAUAUUGCACAAUGGGGGAAACCCUGAUGCAGCGACGCCGCGUGAGUGAAGAAGUAAUUCGGUAUGUAAAGCUCUAUCAGCAGGGAAGAAAAUGACGGUACCUGAGCAAGAAGCACCGGCUAACUACGUGCCAGCAGCCGCGGUAAUAAGUAGGGGGCAAGCGUUAUCCGGAUUUACUGGGUGUAAAGGGGGCGUAGACGGCAGUGCAAGUCUGGAGUGAAAGGCGGGGGCUCAACCCCCGGACUGCUCUGGAAACUGUACGGCUUGAGUGGAGGAGAGGUAGGUGGAAUUCGUAGUGUAGCGGUGAAAUGCGUAGAUAUUAGGAGGAACACCAGUGGCGAAGGCGGCUUACUGGACUGUAACUGACGUUGAGGCUCGAAAGCGUGGGGAGCGAACAGGAUUAGAUACCCCUGUAGUC